rnacentral:rRNA from 1 species
CGGGAGGCAGCAGUGGGGAAUAUUGCACAAUGGGCGCAAGCCUGAUGCAGCCAUGCCGCGUGUGUGAAGAAGGCCUUCGGGUUGUAAAGCACUUUCAGUCGUGAGGAAGGUAGUGUAGUUAAUAGCUGCAUUAUUUGACGUUAGCGACAGAAGAAGCACCGGCUAACUCCGUGCCAGCAGCCGCGGUAAUACGGAGGGUGCGAGCGUUAAUCGGAAUUACUGGGCGUAAAGCGCAUGCAGGUGGUUUGUUAAGUCAGAUGUGAAAGCCCGGGGCUCAACCUCGGAAUUGCAUUUGAAACUGGCAGACUAGAGUACUGUAGAGGGGGGUAGAAUUUCAGGUGUAGCGGUGAAAUGCGUAGAGAUCUGAAGGAAUACCGGUGGCGAAGGCGGCCCCCUGGACAGAUACUGACACUCAGAUGCGAAAGCGUGGGGAGCAAACAGGAUUAGAUACCCUGGUAGUCCACGCCGUAAACGAUGU